CCGCCCCCUUCACACCGCAUCAAUAUGUGCCCUACACCCUCCUUGCUCACUCUCAUAGCUACACGCACAGACAUAUAUAUCUAGGAAACGAGAAUAAGCGAUAGACACAGACGUGCGCCUCCUUUUCCCCCUUCCCCCUCGCACCACACCACAGCCACCAAGUUGCGUGCGUGUGACAAUGGCAGACACGGCGCUGGGGCUGGCGAGCAUCUUCUGCGGCUGCCAGGCGAACGUCUUCUUGCUGGAGCUCAUCAUCACCGGCUCUCCGAACACUUACUACGCCCUCACUUGCGCUCAGUAUGUGUGCGUCGCUCUCUUCACCUUGCCUCUGCUGCUGCGCUUCAAGCAGCCACACGAGCAACAGGGGGCAACGCUCAAUAUGUGGCCGUUGCAGUGGCGGCGCUUUCGUGUCUCACUGCGCUACAAGCUGAUCCUCGCCGUCGUCGGGUGGGCCAUGUCGGUCGGCAACAACAUUGCCUUCGGCUUCCAUAUCUCCAUCCCGCUGCACGCCACUUUCCGCUCCUCCUCGAUGAUGCUCAACAUGCUUGCCGGGCACUUCUUCUUCGGCAAGCGCUUCACAGCGCCACAGGUGGCCUCUGCCUUGGUCAUCUUUGCCGGCCUCAUCGCUCUGACAAUCGAGAAGGCACGCAGGACGAGCAGCGCGGGGGCCGAGACGGCGUCUCGCACCGCAGCCGUCGCGUCGACCCCGACGUGGUACUGGGGCUGUGGAAUAGCCAUUCUGGUGGCCACCACUGCGUGCACGACGGCAUUGAGCGUCUUUCAGGAGCACAUGUACCGCUGCGCCCGUGCGAACGAGGCCGCAAGGAAGGCAGCGCCAUCGAGCGACGAUGCUCCGCCAAUGUGGACAGAGGCGCUCUGCUUCUCGCAUCUCUUUGCGAUCCCGCUCUUCCUUCUGCAGCCGAUGCGCCUCUGCACCGAGUUUGCGCACGUUGAUGUGGACAGCCAGCUGCACGUGGCGUUGAACUGCGUGACUCAGGUAGUUUGCAUCACCGGCGUGUAUGUGAUGAACGACAAGACCUCAGCCUUCACUCUCAGCCUGACGCUGACGCUACGCAAACUUGCCAGUUUUGUGCUCUCGGUCGUCUACUUUGGUCACUACCGGCACCUCUCGGCUGUGGAGUGGGUCGCCAUGGUUGGCGCUCUCAUGGCUGGCACCGCGUACCCGUUUCUACCUAAGGCUCAACCCGACCUUUCUGUCGCCGUAGACGCGAGCGCAUCGACAGAGACAAGUGCGAAGAAGAACAAGUAGCCGAUGUGCGUGUCUCAGUGUGCGUCGGAUGAUCUCCCUUGCUCCUGACAGCUGUCUCCAUCAUGAUCCGGCAUUGCACGCUAGAGGAGGAAGAGGAUGAGGAGGGGAGCGCUGGGGGGGGGGCAGAUCCAUACGCACGUACGACCAGCACGAACAAGGAUAACAGAAAGACGCAGCUGUCUUUGGGGCCGUGUGCCGAGAGGAGGCGAUGCCACACCCAAUCCUCACCUCACUGUAGCGAAGUACACCCGCUUGUGCGUAUUCGUGAACCAUAGCAUAUGCUUUACAUCGACUACUGUGGUAUUGCACGCGCGGUUCCCGCUGCCGGGUACGCCGCAACAACGGAAAAUGGGGCGAUGCGUGUUGCACGCCUCCCCGUGAUGCCGACGUCUCUCUUUUCUCCUUUCCUUGCCUCCCCCCUCUUCCCUCCCCCAUUUCGAUGCCACGACUUAACGCUUCGCCUUCGCCUACCUCUCCCUCCAG
rnacentral:misc_RNA from 1 species